CUCCGCUCUUAUUUCUCCCGCUCUCUCUCUCUCUUCUACCCAGCGCCGAUAAUGCUAUCUCCGGCCACCAACCGACAACGCCGCCACCACCAAUCGACUCUAUGUCUCUCUCUGAUCAAAAUCCAUGUAAAAUCGGAGCCAUCCACCACCUCCAAUCAACUCCGCCUUCACCAGCCAAUCUGCCACCGAGAGUUCUUCUCUCUCUGGCCAUGACCUCGCUACACCGCUACCCCUGCUAGAUCUAGAGCUAAAGGGAGAGUACAAACCAGAAAUCUGGGCAGCCACUGGGGCUAGGAUACCAAGCCAGCAACUCCAAGGAAGCCCAGAACAGUGGCUCUUCGAUCUCUUCUUUCUGGGGCAAUUGAUUUUGAUGGUUGAGGCCUUAAGGGCAUGUUCUUUGGUAAAAAGAGGUUGAAAAAGCUUAAGCUCACUUUAGCAAAGGCAAGCUAGUUCUUAAUCACACUUUCUUGUACUAAGACAAAUUUAGUAGAUCAUGUAAAUUCUUAACUGUGGACGGAACCUAAACCAUUUAGUUUCUUCUUCAAAAUGAGACUUUUUUUUUUUAAUUAUGAGCUUACUAUCGUACUGGAUAUUCUUGUACAUAAGCUGACAUUUUAAAAUAUGUAGAAAAAGAUAAAGAGAAAAUAUAACUUUUUGAUCAAUUUGUUUAAGCAUUUGAACCAAGUAUAUAUAGACAAACUUAGCUAUACUGGUAAGUGCUAACCACACUGCCGGCCAUGCUACGUUGACUAUUACGUUGCUACCCAAUGCCAGAUCCUAAAUUAGGGACCAACUACAUGAGUUUGGUGGACAUCGAUCAAAAUUGGCCCUGAGAAAGUUUUAGAACUUCAUAAUGCCCAAGCUCCAUACGGGUUAAGGUAAGAGUAAGAUAGUGUAUUAAAUUUGAUGUUAAUGCAUUGAUUGAUUGAGACUUAAGAGCUACAAACAUACCAUUCGUAUCAUUAGGUCAAUUGUUGAAUAAGCUAAUUCAUGCCCUCCAAUAGUGAAAAGUCCAACCACUGUUUACUAAUGAUUUUAUGUUUGUUACUCUAUCAAGUAAAUGAACAUUCAGAAAUCAAAAUGCUUCUGCUUUCCUCCUCGGUAAUAAUCAUAAUACAUAAUGCUUAAGUAUUCAUGUUCUUAAAACAGUUAAAAGUUAAGAAGGAUGAGGUAUUUAUAUGUAUGACAUUUGCAUUUACUUAAUGCCAGAUCCUAAAUUAGGGACCAACUACAUGAGUAAUUACAUCACCAUCAACCCCUACUCAACUAUGGUAAGAAUAUAAAUACCACCAUACUGACAGUAGUAUUUUAAUAAAAUUACAUAGUACGUGGAACCUUUAGUGGCUUAUUAAUUGAGGUUCUUUGAGGCAAGGUGUCUAUCUAAUUGAUCUUGUUCUUGUGGCUGGAAUAAUACUAUUGUUUCUGCAACUUGGCAACUAUUUGGAUUACAUUUAAUGUUGGGAGUGUUGAAAUCGAUCUUCUCUCUUUCGCAGGACGCCGUUACAACCCCAUGUCUGUUUUUCUAAUUCUAAAUUAUUCUGUUUUUUGUUUCCAGACUUUGUAUGAUCAACAAAAAUGUCUGGGUGUUCUAGGAGAGCUGAAGUACUAUUGGAGCAGAUUCUACUAUGGGAGCAAGUACUUUUGUUGGAAAACAAUUAAGCAAAUGUUGCAACUCAUUGACUACAUCCAAAAAAUUUAGGUGAAAUAGUCUCUUGAUCAUGCUUUGGCAUUAUGUAUGCUUAUAUAUGGAAUUGUGGAUGUAUAUGUUGUUUAGAGUGACUGAUUAUGGAUGUCAAUUUUACUACUUUAUGAAUGGGUAAAUUUGAUUUCCAGAA